AGACCAGACAAACAUCACAGCUGAGUCUGGGCAGAACAUCUCGCUGCCAUGUGGAGCUCCAACUAAUAAUAAUCAGGUCUUGGCUGUUCAGUGGAGCAGAGCUGACCUGAAGCAAGAAUAUGUGCUUUUGUACAGAGAUGAGGUUUUUGUUCCAGACAACCAGCAUCCAGCUUUUAAGAACUGGAUGGAUCUGCAGGACAGACAGAUGAAGGAUGUGUCGCGUCUUCAGGAGAGGAACAAACCACAUGAUUAGAACCAUCAGCCUGAGUGUUGUUUCUCCAUGUGAGUCAGCAGAGGUGUAGGUGAAGCCUCUGCAGUAUCUCAAAGCUGUGGACACAGAUGGAUUCUCUCAAGUUCCUCCUGAUUUCAUCCCUAAUUUCUGCAUCUACAUCUCUGCAGCAGGAUGUUCAGGUGAAGCUUGGAGCUGACGUCACUCUCCAGUGUCAGAUUACCACAGAUGAAAUAAUCUCAGUGCUGAAGUGGAGCAGAGCUGACCUGAACACAGACGGCUAUGUCUACUUCUACAGGAACAAACGCUCCUAUGAAAACUACCAACAUCCAUCUUUUCAUGGCCGAGUAAAGCUGAGGGACCCAGAGAUGAAGGAUGGAGACGUUUCUCUGAUCCUGAAGAACGUCACGUUUAAUGACACUGGGAUGUAUGAGUGUCACGUAGCAGUGAGGAAGUCUGGGAGAAGUAAAAGAGCUCACACUGAGAUCAGUCACUUCAUCAACCUCACAGUCACAGGUGAAACGCAUGAAAACAUUAAACUGGUGAAAACAGGAGAUGAAAACAUGGAGGAGGUGGUAGAAGUGGAGACUAGGACUGAUCAGAUGGUUGUUCCUGCUGUGUCUGCAUCUGCUGCGUCCGCUGUCAUUGUUACUACAGCUGGAUUUGUGGCAAUGUGGAGAUUUAAAAGAAAGAAACAGGAGCCCACGGAGGCAGAUAACCAGCAGCUGGUCUGA
rnacentral:lncRNA from 1 species